CUCUAAGCAACACUCACAAGUCUCAAAGCAGCAGAAACAGCAGCACAACGCGAACAAACUGCAUAUCCAAGAGAGAAAUUUGUAAUUGGGUGCACAAAACGUAGUUCAAGAAAGGAUAACAAGUAUUUGUAAGAGGGAGGGAGUGCUGAAGAUUUUAUGUAGGUAAGGAUAAAUGGUAUAGUUAACAAAUGGACAAAGGAUGCUUCUCAAAAAAAAAAAAAAAAA